GAAAAAAGGAAAAAAAGAAAAAAAAAAAGAAGAAAAAAAAUGAAAAAAGAAAAAAAAAACAAAACGAAAGAACAAAAAGAAAAGAAAAGGAAAACGAAAAAAAGAAAAGAAAAAAAACGUGAAAAAAAAAAGUUUGUUGUAAAAAAAGGGGACACGUUUUGGAAGGGGGACAGGAAACAACCUUCUCUGAUUUUUUUUUUUUUCAGAAGUGGUAGUUAUACCCUCUCUCUCUUUCAUCACUACCAAACUCACCACUGAAACAAACAUCCCCUCCA
rnacentral:lncRNA from 1 species